rnacentral:rRNA from 1 species
AGCAGCCGCGGUAAUUCCAGCUCCAAUAGCGUAUAUUAAAGUUGUUGCAGUUAAAAAGCUCGUAGUUGAAUUUUGGAUUCUUCCAAUUGGUCCAUCUUUUAGAUGAGUACUGGUUGUGUGGGGUCUAUCCGCCUGGUGAUACGUAAUGUCCUUUAUUGGAUGUUGCGGGUAGUCAGGACCUUUACCUUGAAAAAAUUAGAGUGUUUAAAGCAGGCUUAUGCCGGAAUACAUUAGCAUGGAAUAAUAGAAUAGGACGAAGUUGUUUUAUUUUGUUGGUUUCUAGGACAACCGUAAUGAUUAAUAGGGAUAGUUGGGGGCAUUAGUAUUCAAUUGUCAGAGGUGAAAUUCUUGGAUUUAUUGAAGACUAACUACUGCGAAAGCAUUUGCCAAGGAUGUUUUCAUUAAUCAAGAACGAAAGUUAGGGGAUCGAAGACGAUCAGAUACCGUCGUAGUCUUAACCAUAAACUAUGCGACUAG